UCAUGACAUUAAACAAUAAAGAGUGGACCCAAGCCCAUCGCUACGUUUUAUUCAAUUCUGAAAACAUCAACCGCUUUCGUGAGAUGCACAAAAGAUUGAUAGAGGAUGAACUUCGAAAAGGCCACAAUCGUAACGUUUCCGAUGCCAUUAUAUAUAAGCACCACAUGGAGAAGUUUUGUACUUGGUUUGGGGGUCACGUGAUGUCCCUCACUGGUGCUGAUAAGGAAA